rnacentral:rRNA from 1 species
CUUAUACAACUUUCAACAACGGAUCUCUUGGCUCUCGCAUCGAUGAAGAACGCAGCGAAAUGCGAUAACUAAUGUGAAUUGCAGAAUUCAGUGAAUCAUCGAGUCUUUGAACGCACCUUGCGCCCUUUGGUAUUCCAAAGGGCAUGCCUGUUUGAGUGUCAUUAA